rnacentral:rRNA from 1 species
AACGAACGCUGGCGGCACGCCUAACACAUGCAAGUCGAGCGCACCUUCGGGUGAGCGGCGGACGGGUUAGUAACGCGUGGGAACAUACCCUACACUAAGGAAUAGCCUUUGGAAACGAAGAGUAAUACCUUAUACGCCCUUCGGGGGAAAGAUUUAUCGGUGAAGGAUUGGCCCGCGUUAGAUUAGAUAGUUGGUGGGGUAACGGCCUACCAAGUCGACGAUCUAUAGCUGGUUUGAGAGGAUGAUCAGCAACACUGGGACUGAGACACGGCCCAGACUCCUACGGGAGGCAGCAGUGGGGAAUCUUAGACAAUGGGCGCAAGCCUGAUCUAGCGAUGCCGCGUGAGUGACGAAGGCCCUAGGGUCGUAAAGCUCUUUCGCCAGGGAUGAUAAUGACAGUACCUGGUAAAGAAACCCCGGCUAACUCCGUGCCAGCCGCCGCGGUAAU